AUUGAACGCUGGCGGCAGGCCUAACACAUGCAAGUCGAGCGGAUGAGAGGAGCUUGCUUCUCGAUUCAGCGGCGGACGGGUGAGUAAUGCCUAGGAAUCUGCCUGGUAGUGGGGGACAACGUUUCGAAAGGAACGCUAAUACCGCAUACGUCCUACGGGAGAAAGCAGGGGACCUUCGGGCCUUGCGCUACCAGAUGAGCCUAGGUCGGAUUAGCUAGUUGGUGAGGUAAUGGCUCACCAAGGCGACGAUCCGUAACUGGUCUGAGAGGAUGAUCAGUCACACUGGAACUGAGACACGGUCCAGACUCCUACGGGAGGCAGCAGUGGGGAAUAUUGGACAAUGGGCGAAAGCCUGAUCCAGCCAUGCCGCGUGUGUGAAGAAGGUCUCCGGAUUGUAAAGCACUUUAAGUUGGGGGGAAGGGUUGUAGAUUAAUACUCUGCAAUUUUGACGUUACCGACAGAAUAAGCACCGGCUAACUCUGUGCCAGCAGCCGCCGUAACAC
rnacentral:rRNA from 1 species